AAUAUUAAAUUAAAAUUAAUUUUUGAUUAAUAACUAAAUUAAUUAAAAGGAAUUCGGCAAAUAUUUAUUUUCACUUGUUUAUCAAAAACAUGUCUUUUUGUUAUUUAAUUUAAAGUCUAAUCUGCCCACUGAUUUAUAAAAAUUGAAGGGCUGCAGUAUAUUGACUGUACAAAGGUAGCAUAAUCAUUAGUCUCUUAAUUGGUGACUUGUAUGAAAGAUUGGAUGAAAAAUAUACUGUCUCUUAGUUAAUAUGUAGAAUUUAAUUUUUUAUUUAAAAAGUUAAAAUAAUUUAAAAAGACGAGAAGACCCUAUAGAGUUUAAUAAAUUAUUUUAUGAAAGUUUUAUUUAUAUUUACUAAUAAUUUUAUAAAUUUAUUUAUUUUGUUGGGGUGAUAAAAAAAUAAAUUUAACUUUUUUUAAGUAAUUUACAUGAAUAAGUGAUUAAU
rnacentral:rRNA from 1 species